GCAGUCGAGCGGACAGAAGGGAGCUUGCUCCCGGAUGUUAGCGGCGGACGGGUGAGUAACACGUGGGUAACCUGCCUGUAAGACUGGGAUAACUCCGGGAAACCGGAGCUAAUACCGGAUAGUUCCUUGAACCGCAUGGUUCAAGGAUGAAAGACGGUUUCGGCUGUCACUUACAGAUGGACCCGCGGCGCAUUAGCUAGUUGGUGGGGUAAUGGCUCACCAAGGCGACGAUGCGUAGCCGACCUGAGAGGGUGAUCGGCCACACUGGGACUGAGACACGGCCCAGACUCCUACGGGAGGCAGCAGUAGGGAAUCUUCCGCAAUGGACGAAAGUCUGACGGAGCAACGCCGCGUGAGUGAUGAAGGUUUUCGGAUCGUAAAGCUCUGUUGUUAGGGAAGAACAAGUGCGAGAGUAACUGCUCGCACCUUGACGGUACCUAACCAGAAAGCCACGGCUAACUACGUGCCAGCAGCCGCGGUAAUACGUAGGUGGCAAGCGUUGUCCGGAAUUAUUGGGCGUAAAGGGCUCGCAGGCGGUUUCUUAAGUCUGAUGUGAAAGCCCCCGGCUCAACCGGGGAGGGUCAUUGGAAACUGGGAAACUUGAGUGCAGAAGAGGAGAGUGGAAUUCCACGUGUAGCGGUGAAAUGCGUAGAGAUGUGGAGGAACACCAGUGGCGAAGGCGACUCUCUGGUCUGUAACUGACGCUGAGGAGCGAAAGCGUGGGGAGCGAACAGGAUUAGAUACCCUGGUAGUCCACGCCGUAAACGAUGAGUGCUAAGUGUUAGGGG
rnacentral:rRNA from 1 species